UUCCCCAACGGCUGUCAAUCAUA
rnacentral:miRNA from 1 species